rnacentral:rRNA from 1 species
CACGUAGGGCGCAAGCGUUGUCCGGAAUUAUUGGGCGUAAAGAGCUCGUAGGCGGUCUGUUACGUCUGCUGUGAAAACCCAGGGCUUAACCCUGGGCUUGCAGUGGAUACGGGCAGACUAGAGGCAGGUAGGGGAGACUGGAAUUCCUGGUGUAGCGGUGAAAUGCGCAGAUAUCAGGAGGAACACCGGUGGCGAAGGCGGGUCUCUGGGCCGUAACUGACGCUGAGGAGCGAAAGCAUGGGGAGCGAACAGG